rnacentral:rRNA from 1 species
CCUACGGGUGGCAGCAGUGGGGAAUAUUGGGCAAUGGGCGCAAGCCUGACCCAGCAACGCCGCGUGAAGGAAGAAGGCUUUCGGGUUGUAAACUUCUUUUAAGAGGGAAGAGAAGAAGACGGGACAUCUUGAAUAAGCCACGGCUCACUACGGGCCAGCAGCCGCGGUAAUACGUAGGUGGCAAGCGUUUUCCGGAUUUACGUGGUGUAAAGGGCGUGUAGCCGGGCCGGCAAGUCAGGUGUGAAAUCCCAAGGCACAACAUUGGAUCUGCAUUUGAAACUGUUGGUCGUGAGUAUCGGAGAGGCAGGCGGAAUUCCUAGUGUAGCUGUGAAAUGCGUAGAUAUUAGGAGGAACACCAGUCGCGAAGGCGGCCUGCUGGACGACAACUGACGUUGAGGCUCGAAAGCGUGGGGAGCAAACAGGAUUAGAUACCCUUGUAGUC